rnacentral:rRNA from 1 species
GAUGAACGCUGGCGGCGUGCCUAAUACAUGCAAGUCGAGCGAACGGACGAGAAGCUUGCUUCUCUGAUGUUAGCGGCGGACGGGUGAGUAACACGUGGCUAACCUACCUAUAAGACUGGGAUAACUUCGGGAAACCGGAGCUAAUACCGGAUAAUAUUUUGAACCGCAUGGUUCAAAAGUGAAAGACGGUCUUGCUGUCACUUAUAGAUGGAUCCGCGCUGCAUUAGCUAGUUGGUAAGGUAACGGCUUACCAAGGCAACGAUGCAUAGCCGACCUGAGAGGGUGAUCGGCCACACUGGAACUGAGACACGGUCCAGACUCCUACGGGAGGCAGCAGUAGGGAAUCUUCCGCAAUGGGCGAAAGCCUGACGGAGCAACGCCGCGUGAGUGAUGAAGGUCUUCGGAUCGUAAAACUCUGUUAUUAGGGAAGAACAUAUGUGUAAGUAACUGUGCACAUCUUGACGGUACCUAAUCAGAAAGCCACGGCUAACUACGUG